UUGACCUCGGAUCAGGUAGGGAUACCCGCUGAACUUAAGCAUAUCAAUAAGCC
rnacentral:rRNA from 2 species